UACGUAGGGUGCAGGCGUUAAUCGGAAUUACUGGGCGUAAAGCGUGCGCAGGCGGUUUCUUAAGUCAGAUGUGAAAGCCCCGGGCUUAACCUGGGAACUGCGUUUGAAACUGGGAGACUUGAGUGUGGCAGAGGGGGGUGGAAUUCCACGUGUAGCAGUGAAAUGCGUAGAUAUGUGGAGGAACACCGAUGGCAAAGGCAGCCCCCUGGGUUAACACUGACGCUCAUGCACGAAAGCGUGGGGAGCAAACAGG
rnacentral:rRNA from 1 species